rnacentral:lncRNA from 1 species
GUAAGGGGACACUAAAGUGACAUUAUUUGAGUGAGGGCCAGGACAAAGAUGCACAAUGUCAAAAUAUUAGCAAAAUGUGAUAUGUAGAAAUAGGAAUAGGGUGGAUCGGGAAUUCGUAUGGGAGGCAAACACGACGUACCCACGCACGAUUCUAGGGGGGGACACGUACCUAUACGUUCUUUCAAUGUACACCGACGUGCAUCAUUGGCAUUCCAUUGUCAUUUGCACACUCUACCGGGCGGGUAUCCACAUCGGUGACAAAUGGGCCAGUUGUGUGAAGUGAAAUCCUCUUUGCUCGUGACAAAUGAGUCAGGUGUGUCAAGGCAAAUCCUUCAUCCUAGAAUCCUACGUGAGUCAUGUGAACUUUGGAAAACCACACAUGAUGUCAUGCUUGAUGCCCAUGCACUUGAUUUGAUGUGUUGGAGAUGGACGACUCGGUGGCGUAUGCAUGGCAAGAUACGCACAUAAGAUGUUGUUUGAGGGGUAGAUCCAUAGUGAGGAUGUUUCUUUGAUCUAGACGGCCAACGAAGGCUCUUCGAACUAAAACCUUUACAUAGUUUGUUGUGUGUGGCCGGUCUUUAACCUCUAGCAAUACUAAAAACAGAUUAUGCGCAAUCCGAAAUGUGCACUCUACGGCCACCAAGAAAAAGCAAUCACUUGUAUGCGGAAUGCUCUUUCUUCCAGACGGUAUGAAGAAAUGUGGCUGUAAAUAUGCUCUUUACUUUUCGUAAUAUGCCAGUGGUGAUGUUUGGCUCUCCGAGGCAAUGGUGGCAACAUAAGAUGUCAUUGCUGCAGCUGCAUGCCAAGACGGCUUGGAGGACUGUCAUUAUUUUUAUUUGGUUGACCUAACGAAAGGAAAGGAACAAGGGACGCGAAGUAAUUGGGAGCGAGCUCAAAUGAGCUCGUUAUCAUGCGGUGGAUAUCACAUCAGGAUCUGAGCCAAUUAUUUAUUCUGGCGUUGGAGGGGCGCUAGGAAAAUGCACUCUGUAGAUAUAUACGUACCCAACAGAGCUCGAUGGUGGGCCAGAGUUAACGUGCAGUUGGGUGUCCGUUCGUCUGAGUCAUGGCCCACAACAUGAUGGCC